GGGGCGGGGGCACGGGGGGCCUACGGGAGGCAGCAGUGGGGAAUAUUGCACAAUGGGCGCAAGCCUGAUGCAGCCAUGCCGCGUGUAUGAAGAAGGCCUUCGGGUUGUAAAGUACUUUCAGCGGGGAGGAAGGGAGUAAAGUUAAUACCUUUGCUCAUUGACGUUACCCGCAGAAGAAGCACCGGCUAACUCCGUGCCAGCAGCCGCGGU
rnacentral:rRNA from 1 species